rnacentral:tRNA from 1 species
GGUGGGGUACCGAAGCGGUCAAACGGGGCAGACUGUAAAUCUGUUGGCAUAGCCUUCGGAGGUUCGAAUCCUCCCCCCACCA